UACGUAGGGGGCAAGCGUUGUCCGGAUUUAUUGGGCGUAAAGAGCGUGUAGGCGGCCUACAGGUCUGCUGUGAAAACUCGAGGCUCAACCUCGAGAUGUCGGCGGAAACCGUCUGGCUAGAGUCCGGAAGAGGAGAGUGGAAUUCCUGGUGUAGCGGUGAAAUGCGCAGAUAUCAGGAAGAACACCUAUGGCGAAGGCAGCUCUCUGGGACGGUACUGACGCUGAGACGCGAAAGCGUGGGGAGCGAACAGG
rnacentral:rRNA from 1 species